rnacentral:rRNA from 1 species
AAGAUGGCGACCGGCGCACGGGUGAGUAACACGUAUCCAACCUGCCGAUAACUCCGGAAUAGCCUUUCGAAAGAAAGAUCAAUACCGGAUAGUAUACGAAUAUCGCAUGAUAUUUUUAUUAAAGAAUUUCGGUUAUCGAUGGGGAUGCGUUCCAUUAGUUUGUUGGCGGGGUAACGGCCCACCAAGACUACGAUGGAUAGGGGUUCUGAGAGGAAGGUCCCCCACAUUGGAACUGAGACACGGUCCAA